GGUAGGGUAGCUGAGCGUUUAGGCGGUGGGUUGUAGCCCCAAGUACAAAGGUUUAAGUCCUUUUCCUAUCA
rnacentral:tRNA from 1 species